rnacentral:sRNA from 2 species
CGGACUUCCGUUCCAUCUCAGAUACACAAGGAUGGACGUAAGCGACAUAGCUCACUUUGUGUAAUAACACACACACGUAUCGGCACAUAUUCCGGGGUGCCCUUCGGGGUCGGUAAUAUGGGAUACGUGGAGGCAUAACC